rnacentral:rRNA from 1 species
GACGAACGCUGGCGGCGUGCCUAAUACAUGCAAGUAGAACGCACAGUUUAUACCGUAGCUUGUUACACCAUAGACUGUGAGUUGCGAAUGGGUGAGUAACGCGUAGGUAAUAUGCCUGGUAGCGGGGCAUAAAUACUGGAAACGAUAGCUAUUACAGCAUAAUAUUAAUUAUUGCAUAAUAAUUAAUUGUAAGGCUCAAUUGUACAACUACCAGCUGGACCUGCGUUGUAUUAGCUAGUAGGGCAGGUAACGGCUCACCUAGGCGAAGGUACACCGCCGAACUUGGAGGGUGGAUGGCCACACUGGGACUGAGACACGGCCCAGACCUCUACGGGAGGCAACAGUAAGGAAUCUUCGGCAAUGGACGGAAGGCUGGCCGGGCAACGGCGCGGGAGUGAAGGAAGGUUUCGGAUCGUAAAGCUCUGUUGAAAGGGAAGAACGAGAUUUGGAGUGGAAAGUUCACACUGUGACGGUAUCUAACCAGAAAGGGACGGCUAACUACGUG